AACCUGCCCCAUAGUCUGGGAUACCACUUGGAAACAGGUGCUAAUACCGGAUAAGAAAGCGGAUCGCAUGAUCAGCUUUUAAAAGGCGGCGUAAGCUGUCGCUAUGGGAUGGCCCCGCGGUGCAUUAGCUAGUUGGUAAGGUAAAGGCUUACCAAGGCGAUGAUGCAUAGCCGAGUUGAGAGACUGAUCGGCCACAUUGGGACUGAGACACGGCCCAAACUCCUACGGGAGGCAGCAGAA
rnacentral:rRNA from 1 species